UACAUAGGGGGCUAGCGUUGUCCGGAAUCAUUGGGCGUAAAGAGCGUGUAGGCGGCUCGGUAAGUCCGCUGUAAAAGUCAAAGGCUCAACCUUUGAAUGUCAGUGGAUACUGCCGGGCUAGAGUCCGGAAGAGGCGAGUGGAACUCCUGGUGUAGCGGUGGAAUGCGCAGAUAUCAGGAAGAACACCAACGGCGAAGGCAGCUCGCUGGGACGGUACUGACGCUGAGACGCGAAAGCGUGGGGAGCGAACAGG
rnacentral:rRNA from 1 species